CAGGGGGUAGUUUAAAAAAUAUUAAAUUUGGGGUUUAAAGAUAGGGUAAUAACUCUUCCUCUGA
rnacentral:tRNA from 1 species